UUAGCUGCCGAGCCCGGGAGCCCUGAGUGGUCUGCCCUGGAGGCCGAGCCGCGCGGCGGAGACUGAGCUGCGGAGCCCUGGGAGGUGGCUCACAGCCUCCAAAAUCCCCCGCUGCACCCGGGCGGCGUCGGAGGGAGCGGAUCAUGCUCUGCUGGGCGCGCGGGUGGCGGGACCCUGGCCCCAGCGCAGUACCCGGAGCUGCCCAGCGGGCACCCACAGCGAGCAGGGGCGGGAGCUCGCUUUAUUUAUUUACUUAUUGAGACAGGGUCACACUAAGUUGCCGAGGCUGAUCUCGAACUUGCGAUCUUCCUGCGUCCAGCGUCGCUGGGUUUACAGGAAUACGCCACCACGCUCGGCUUUGCGGUGACCGUUUAAUGCCUACCUCCAAGGCCGGCAUGCGUCCACGUGUUCCACCGGGCCCUGAGGUCCUCAACAGAGCCUGGCACAAACCAGCCUAAUAUUUGUUGUACAGAUAGAGGACUAAAUGUGUGAACUGGGAACGUGAAGGACCCCGCCAGCCCAGGUGGGGAAAGUUUCUAACCAAUAUCAUCUAGUGUGCAAAAGGUCAAGAGCCCCUCGUCAGGAAGACCCUGUUUGGGGUGAGGAGAUUUCGUUAUAGGAGGGCCUACAAUGAUGGAAGAAAAAUGCUCCCUUUGAAUCUUUAAAGUGGGAAGUCUAGGACAAAUUAAGGCAAAUACUUCCUGCUCAUUCACUGCGCUGGCUAGUUGGAACCCUGGAGAGGACGGGAUAUGGUCUCCAGGCUCACAAUCCCACCGGGGCCCAUAACUGAUGAACCACAGAGGGCAGGAGAAAGACCUGUGUGGUGACUUGUCCCUAGGAUGAUAGGGAGCCCAGACCUGAAGAUUGAGAAGACCACGGUCUGCAGAAGUAGGAGGACGCUGUCUCUGUCCAGCUCAGAGCCAUUCUGGAAGCCAGACCUUCACCCUUCAUGGCGGACGCUGAGGAACAAGGGAUGGGAAUGAGUCAGGAUAAAAGAGUAAAUAAACCCCAGCUUUCCUCCCGGGUCGGUCACUUCCACGUUUCGGGGAAGCCUACGGAUCUCCACUCACAGCCUGAAAAUCGCUGGAAAGUUCACCCCCGGGCACCGCUCAUCAGCCCCAGUCCACGCGUCUUCAGAACAGGCUGAGCACCGAGGCGGAGCCAGCGCAGUCUGCCAGCAUCAGCUACCAGUCAGGCCUUUGAAAGUCUCAAAGUAGAGUUCACCCGACCAACAGAUCCUGACUGGACAACGGCGCCUGGCCUCCACACGGGCCUCCUGAGGCUGUGUUAUUCGGGACAUGUGACCCUCCAUCUGGGGAGCGUCGGUGUGGCCAUUCCUGGGCAGGUCUGAAGAGGGUCCCUGGGGAGGGGCACGAGGAAGCCCCUUCCCACCCACUGCGAGGACCUGAAUGCCCACUUGUGGGGCCGCCCAGGGGCUCAGAUUAGCCCCCGUCAGCGCAGCUGCCACCUGAUGGGUUGCUGCAGUCACAGGGCCGUAAGCCAUUUAAACGCCCUUUAUUCCAGGUGACUCAGGAGGGGCCGCCCCUUUGUUCAAGGCAGGGGCCCCCACCUCCCCAGUGCCGCCACCUCCUUUUUUGCAAUCCACGGGCUUGGGGGCUGCCUUAGACCUCGGGCUGCCGUAACGAAGUGCCACCACUGACGGGCAGGUUGGAGCCACAGAAAUGUGUUUUCACGCUCCAGAGCUUGGCAGGACACCGUGGGGGGGUGGUAAAGGCCCUUCUCCAGCACGGCCUUGUCAUAUUUCUGCAGUGGCAAUGACCCCAUUUCCAAAUAAGGUCAUUUUGAGGUACUGGGACUUCAGCAUCUUUGGGGGCAGCACAACUCAAGCAUAU